UCGACCAAGGACAGGAGAAACAAGGGUUUACCUUUUUUCUUGCAAAACUCAUCAAUUAGCAAGAGAAUUCAAUGUUAAUUGGCUGCAUGUCUUGAAUUUUUGAUCAUCUAAGCAUACCUAGUGAAGUGGCGUGAAAGAAGAAGGUUCCAGCACUAGGAAGUCGGAAAACUCACAAGAUCGAGGUAAAUCCUCAGUUUAGGCGACUUGGCAAUUUGGAGCGAGCAUACACAUACUUUAUGACCAUCAAGCGCUUCCGCUAGUCCGUAUUAAUGUUUUGGGUUAAAUAUCUGUUUUGUACAACUUGUUAGUAGUCAUACUUUUUACACUUGAUGUCUUGGUUUUUAGUAGUAUCUUGUCGAACGGAUUGUAGAAUUGUAUUUGUUUUGAUUAUGGUUAAAACAGGGGCAUACU